CCCCUAGUGAUGUCACUGCGUACGUCAACACCUUCAACUCAUGAGACCAAGCCCAUGCGCACACAGCUAUACAAACAAUAGUUCCAGUGUUAUCUAAAGGCUCAACAGUAAUUGUCCCCAAGUUGAUUUAUAGUGGUAUUUCUCACUCGUCUCUUAUCUCCCCUGCAGAGUUCUGUGUCUAUGAAUCUCUUUUAGCGUUGAGGCGGUUUCUCACAGACACCAUGUUUUGACUGCAAUAACUCACACUUCUCUCAGACCGUUUCUUUAUAAUAGACAGAGACUAGAAAAUAACUGUGGAACAAUAUUAAACCUUAUAAUGAAUAUAUAUAUAUAUAUAUAUAUAUAUAUAUAGUUAAUCUCUAGUCUAGGAACCUAUACAUGUAGUGGGGGAGGGGUCGUAUAGCCCCUCCCCUUCUAUUAAUACAACAUAAGCAUAAUCAAUUAUUAUAAUACAUUAAUCAUUUGGUGCAGCCCCUAUUAUGACCCCAAGGUGACCCCCAUCAAAUUUCUCCAAACGGAAAUAUUCCUGGUGAACGCAUCCCAACUGAACUAUUCCUGGUGAACUCAUCCCAACUGAACUAUUCCUGAUGAACUCAUCCAAACUGAACUAUUCCUGAUGAACUCGUCCAAACUGAAAUAUUCCUGGUUAACUCAUCCCAACUGAAAUAUUCCUGAUGAACUCAUCCCAACUGAACUAUUCCUGAUGAACUCGUCCCAACUGCAAUAUUACCGGUUUGAAACAGACUUCAGUUAGUUGGUGUCCACCCUAGUCUGUAUCGAUCUGGGAUGCAUUCCAAGUGGCACCCUAAAUCCCUUUAUCGUGCACUACUUAUGAAUAGGGCCCUAUGGGGAUGCAGACCUGGUGUAAGUACUUGCUGUUACUAUAGGCUCCAUUACCUACCAGCGGACCCUACCAGCGGACCCUACCAGCGGACCCUACCAGCGGACCCUACCAGCGGACCCUACCAGCGGACCCUACCAGCGGACCCUACCAGCGGACCCUACCAGCGGACCCUACCAGCGGACCCUACCAGCGGACCCUUAUCUCUCUCAUCACAAGGGUCUUCAACACAACUCCUGGAGAGCUUUUUGGAAGAAAAUUAAAAAAACAGAGGGGUACAUACCAAAUGGCAUCCUAUUCUCUUUGAAGUGCACUACUUUUGACCAGGGUAAUAGUAUGCCGUUUGUGACACACCCUCGAGUAUUCUCAGUCAAUUGUCAACCGGCUAAUCAGAAACCAAAGAUGACAGGAGAGCUUUAUAAUGGCUAGGUGAGAUGUGUUGAAUGGCACCUGUAUCGCUGUUGAACUAAAGUUAGCGUACUAGUGAUUAUGCAAUAUUAGUUUCUUCCUAUAUCAUAGGCUACAUUCAAACUUGUAGAGGGCAUUUAAAUUAGUGCAAUACAUAUUGGAUGGCUAUAAAGGUUUGUGUUACAGAAUAGAAUUAGCAGGUAUGCUCGUCUAGCUAAUAACCCCUACAGGAUAGAAUUAGUAGGUAUGCUAGUCUAGCUAAUAACCCUACAGGAUAAAAUUAGCAGGUAUGCUAGUCUAGCUAAUAACCCCUACAGGAUAGAAUUAGUAGGUAUGCUAGUCUAGCUAAUAACCCUACAGGAUAAAAUUAGCAGGUAUGCUAGUCUAGCUAAUAACCCCUACAGGAUAGAAUUAGCGGGUAUGCUAGUCUAGCUAAUAGCCCAUACAGGAUAGAAUUAGCAGGUAUGCUAGUCUAGCUAAUAACCCCUACAUGAUAGAAUUAGCAGGUAUGCUAGUCUAGCUAAUAGCCCCUACAGGAUAGAAUUAGCAGGUAUGCUAGUCUAGCUAAUAGCCCCUACAGGAUAGAAUUAGCAGGUAUGCUAGUCUAGCUAAUAGCCCCUACAGGAUAGAAUUAGCAGGUAUGCUAGUCUAGCUAAUAGCCCCUACAGGAUAGAAUUAGCAGGUAUGCUAGUCUAGCUAAUAGCCCCUACAGGAUAGAAUUAGCAGGUAUGCUAGUCUAGCUAAUAGCCCCUACAGGAUAGAAUUAGCAGGUAUGCUAGUCUAGCUAAUAGCCCAUACAGGAUAAAAUUAGCAGGUAUGCUAGUCUAGCUAAUAACCCCUACAUGAUAGAAUUAGCAGGUAUGCUAGUCUAGCUAAUAACCCCUACAUGAUAGAAUUAGCAGGUAUGCUAGUCUAGCUAAUAGCCCCUACAGGAUAGAAUUAGCAGGUAUGCUAGUCUAGCUAAUAGCCCCUACAGGAUAUAAUUAGUGGGUAUGCUAGUCGAGCUAAUAGCCCCUCUGGUUACAUUGUUCUGUAACGGCUCAUUUUCGAUUGAGCAAUUGAUGGAGCGGCAAGGUAGCCUAGUGGUUAGAGCGUAGAGCGUAACCGGAAGGUUGCGAGUUCAAACCCCCGAGCUGACAAGGUACAAAUCUGUCGUUCUGCCCCUGAACAGGCAGUUAACCCACUGUUCCCAGGCCGUCAUUGAAAAUAAGAAUGUGUUCUUAACUGACUUGCCUGGUUAAAUAAAGGUACAAUUU